rnacentral:tRNA from 1 species
GCCCUGGUGACGGAAUGGCAUACGUACUGGUCUUAGAAACCAGGUUCUGUGGGUUCGAGUCCCACCUAGGGUACCA